rnacentral:rRNA from 1 species
AGUGAACGCUGGCGGCAGGCCUAACACAUGCAAGUCGAGCGGCAGCGCGGGGGCAACCCUGGCUGCGAGCGGCGGACGGGUGAGGAAUUCGUCGGAAUCUGCCUUUUUGUGGGGGAUAACGUAGGGAAACUUACGCUAAUACCGCAUACGUCCUACGGGAGUAAGUGGGGGACCGCAAGGCCUUACGCAGAAAGAUGAGCCGACGACCGAUUAGCUAGUUGGUGGGGUAAAGGCCCACCAAGGCGACGAUCGGUAGCUGGUCUGAGAGGAUGAUCAGCCACACUCGAACUGAGACACGGCCCAGACUCCUACGGGAGGCAGCAGUGGGGAAUAUUGGACAAUGGGCGCAAGCCUGAUCCAGCCAUGCCGCGUGUGUGAAGAAGGCCUUCGGGUUGUAAAGCACUUUUGUCCGGAAAGAAAACCCUGGGGCUAAUACCUUCGGGGGAUGACGGUACCGGAAGAAUAAGCACCGGCUAACUUCGUG